rnacentral:tRNA from 1 species
AGCACAGUGGCUCAGUGGUUAGCACUGUUGCCUCACAGCAAGAAUGUCCUGGGUUCGAAUCCUGGCUGUCUCA